rnacentral:rRNA from 1 species
UACGUAGGGGGCUAGCGUUGUCCGGAUUUAUUGGGCGUAAAGAGCGUGUAGGCGGCCAGGUAGGUCUGGUGUGAAAACUCGAGGCUUAACCUCGAGAUGUCAUCGGAAACCAUCUGGCUAGAGUCCGGAAGAGGAGAGUGGAAUUCCUGGUGUAGCGGUGAAAUGCGCAGAUAUCAGGAAGAACACCAAUGGCAAAAGCAGCUCUCUGGGACGGUACUGACGCUGAGACGCGAAAGCGUGGGGAGCGAACAGG